CUGGUUCUCGUGUGGCAGCAGUGUGAAGUUGCGGUGCAGCCAGGUGGAGGUCCUCCUCGCUGUCUCCUCUGUCAACAUCCUUACAGACAACUACACGACGUUUGUUCCAGUCUCAUAGUUGCUGCAUGAGCAUGCCAUUAUCUGCCCACUGGCUGAAGUGCUGCGCCAGGGAUGGCAUGCCCAGUACACGACAGCUGUCAUGGUCCACAGACAUGAGCUCAGGAGGUGCCUCUCCUGCUGUCUUCUACCUUGACAUUAGGACAAUGGAGCUGUCCUCAUCCAUCUGUCCCGUUGGUGCUCUGCUCUGCCAGUGGCAGCUGUUGGAUGCGUCGAGCCAUCCUGCGGUCAUGGUCAAUGCCAGCUUGAUCCAGUUGUGCAGGCUGUACCACUGACGUGUCUCUUGGAAAGAGAUGGACCUGAAGCGACCCCAUCCAUAAUGGCCCUGUCUACAUUGAUCUCCUGGUGGCAGGAGACAGGAGAGAGCAGCAGCAGCACACAUUCAAGAGUGCAGUUCUACUUUACGGCGGCAGGGGGCGGCCGAACGCGACGCAAGCUGAGUGUUGGUUUCCGUCAUGAAGCAGCACACAAUAACCCCGGAAGUGAGUAUGAGCUGAGGGGGGAGGGGAGCUGAGCCUCACUUUAUCGUUUUUCUCAACAUUACAUCCGUUUUUAAAUCUCAUGAACAUGUUAUGCUGAAGCAUUUAGUUAUAAACAUGUGUAGUGUGACAAUUCUCUUAUGUUUGUGUGGCCGUGUGAUUCGAAUGGACUAGUUUCAGAUCAUUGCUGUUCAAAAAAAUGCAGCAUUGCAUGCUGGGUAAAGCGAAUGUCCCUCGAAGAAAGCUAUUCAAGCUCAUAAUUUAGUGAUCUUUUGCGUCAGUGUAUAGUAAUACACCAAAGCAUGUGCCCUCUUUGAUUUAGCCUGGUGGUUUCAAGUGUUCAAGUGUUUUCACCACAAAUAUGUGUGUUGUGUGUGCGAAUGGGUUGAGCGCAGCGUCCGUGUACAACUCAUACUUACCUGGCAGGGGAGACACCAUGAUCAAGAAGGUGGUUCACCCAGGGCGAGGCUCAGCCAUUGCACUUUGGGUUGUGCUGACCCCUGCGAAUUCCCCAAAUGUGGGAAUCUCGACUGCAUAAUUUCUGGUAGUGGGGGACUGCGUUCGCGCUCUCCCCUGAUCUCCUUGUUCAAAGUAAUUUAAACAUCGGCUCACAUACAUACACAGAGUUGUGCACCGGAAUCUGUUAUACACGUGCUGCACUAGUUCAAUGAUGCUAGUUGUGCAUUUGAUGGACGAAACUCUUGUAUUUUCAAUGAUCUCUGAAGUGCCCUGUGUACUGGCCUGAGACCAGAUGAAUGGUCUCUCUUUCUGUACAUUUAUGUUCUCACCAAAAGAGUCACACUUGUUCAAUGAUGAGAAUGCUGCAUUUGAGAGGCUAAAACAUGACUAUAUUCCUUAAUAUGUCUCUGAAGUACUCACGUAUACUGACAUCAUAGGUGGGAGGGACAGACACCAGAUGAGUGGUCUCCCUCUGUCAUUUGUUUAAACUAAAUAGACACUAAUUUAAUAUAAUUUUAAGAAUGAUUCGUGUAUGUUACUUUGUACUUGUGCAGGAAGAAUGGGAUAGUUGUGUUGUUCUGCAUCCAUGCAGCAGGGGGCAGUAGGCUGUCUUUACCAGAGCAGGAAACACAGAACCAGGAAGCAUUUGCCAAGGGGGGGAAGUGCAGAAUGCUUAAUUUAUAGAACAAUUUUUCCUUAACAUUUCGAUGUCGGUUGCUUGUUUUAGACACAGUGUUUAGGAAUACCUGGUCAACUUGUGCGGUGCUUCUUAUCCUUGUUUGUUGUUGUGAUGUCAACUGGGUUAAAUUGGUAGUGCUACUUUGGGCAAACACAGCAGUGCAUGCUGGGUAAAUGAGAAGUUCUAUAAACUGUGAAAAAUAGUUUUAUCUUUCUGAAUGGCAUAACUGUUGUUGUAGUUGUAAAUGACGAUUUUAUUUGUUCUGAACAUCAGUUUGUGGCUUGUAGAGUUGUAAGGAUGUGACUCCCAUCAGUGCAAAUGAUGUGUGUGAGCAAGGGUUGUCUGCAGCGUCCGUGUACAACUCAUACUUACCUGGCAGGGGAGACACCAUGAUCAAGAAGGUGGUUCACCCAGGGUGAGGCUCAGCCAUUGCACUUUGGGUUGUGCUGACCCCUGCGAAUUCCCCAAAUGUGGGAAUCUCGACUGCAUAAUUUCUGGUAGUGGGGGACUGCGUUCGCGCUCUCCCCUGAU